GGCGGCGUGCUAACACAUGCAAGUCGAACGAGAACGGGCUUUAGUUUACUAAAGUUGUCAGCUAAGUGGCGCACGGGUGAGUAAUAUAUAGUUAACCUGCCUCAAAGAAGGGAAUAAUUGUUGGAAACGACUUGUAACGCCCUAUAUGCCUUUAUUACAUAAGUAAGCAAGGGAAACAUUUAUGGCUUUGAGAUGGGACUGUACGGUAUCAGAUAGUUGGUGAGGUAAUGGCUCACCAAGUCUAUGACGCCUAACUGGUUUGAGAGGAUGAUCAGUCACACUGGAACUGAGACACGGUCCAGACUCCUACGGGAGGCAGCAGUGGGGAAUAUUGCACAAUGGAGGAAACUCUGAUGCAGCAACGCCGCGUGGAGGAUGACACAUUUCGGUGCGUAAACUCCUUUUAUAUAAGAAGAUAAUGACGGUAUUAUAUGAAUAAGCACCGGCUAACUCCGUGCCAGCAGCCGCGGUAAUACGGGGGGUGCAAGCGUUACUCGGAAUCACUGGGCGUAAAGAGCAUGUAGGCUGGUAGAAAAGUUGGAAGUGAAAUCCUGUGGCUUAACCAUAGAACUGCUUCCAAAACUCUCUACCUAGAAUAUGGGAGAGGUAGAUGGAAUUUCUGGUGUAGGGGUAAAAUCCGUAGAGAUCAGAAGGAAUACCGAUUGCGAAGGCGAUCUGCUGGAACAUUAUUGACGCUGAGAUGCGAAAGCGUGGGGAGCAAACAGGAUUAGAUACCCUGGUAGUCCACGCCCUAAACGAUGCACACUAGUUGUUGCCAUACUAGAUAUGGCAGUAAUGCAGUUAACACAGUAAGUGUGCCGCCUGGGGAGUACGGUCGCAAGAUUAAAACUCAAAGGAAUAGACGGGGACCCGCACAAGCGGUGGAGCAUGUGGUUUUAAUUCGAC
rnacentral:rRNA from 1 species